UACGGAGUGUGCAAGCGUUACUCGGAAUCACUGGGCAUAAAGCGCGCGUAGGCGGGUUUCCAAGUCGGCUGUGAAAUCCCUCAGCUCAACUGAGGAACUGCAUCCGAUACUGUUUGUCUUGAGGACGGGAGGGGAGAGUGGAACUUCUGGUGAAGCGGUGAAAUGCGUAGAUAUCAGAAGGAACGCCGGUGGCGAAAGCGGCAUCCUGGACCGGCAUUGACGCUGAGGCGCGAAAGCCAGGGGAGCAAACGGG
rnacentral:rRNA from 1 species